rnacentral:rRNA from 1 species
UACGAAGGGGGCUAGCGUUGCUCGGAAUGACUGGGCGUAAAGGGCGCGUAGGCGGUUCGUACAGUCAGACGUGAAAUUCCCGGGCUCAACCUGGGGGCUGCGUUUGAUACGUGCGGGCUUGAGUUCGGAAGAGGGUCGUGGAAUUCCCAGUGUAGAGGUGAAAUUCGUAGAUAUUGGGAAGAACACCGGUGGCGAAAGGCGGC